rnacentral:rRNA from 1 species
UACGUAGGGUGCGAGCGUUAAUCGGAAUUACUGGGCGUAAAGCGUGCGCAGGCGGUGAUGUAAGACAGGUGUGAAAUCCCCGGGCUUAACCUGGGAACUGCAUUUGUGACUGCAUCGCUGGAGCACGGUAGAGGCGAAUGGAAUUCCGGGUGUAGCGGUGGAAUGCGUAGAGAUCCGGAAGAACACCGGUGGCGAAGGCGGUUCGCUGGGCCGUAGCUGACGCUGAGGCGCGACAGCGUGGGGAGCAAACAGG